GAUGAAGAACGCAGCGAAAUGCGAUAAGUAGUGUGAAUUGCAGAAUUCCGUGAAUCAUCGAAUCUUUGAACGCACAUUGCGCCCGCCAGCACUCUGGCGGGCAUGCCUGUCCGAGCGUCAUUUCAACCCUCGCGCCGUCCCUCCAGGGGGCUCGGCGCGGUGUUGGGGGACACGGCCCCGGCCGCCCCCGAAAUGCAGUGGCGACCCCGCCGCGGCCCCUCCAGCGCAGUAAGCACGCUCGCUACGGGAGGCCCGGUGGACGCGUCCGCCGUAAAACGCCCAACUCUUCAGAAGUUGACCUCGGAUCAGGUAGGGAUACCCGCUGAACUUAAGCAUAUCAAUAAGCGGAGGA
rnacentral:misc_RNA from 1 species